rnacentral:rRNA from 1 species
GAUGAACGCUAGCGGCAGGCCUAAUACAUGCAAGUCGGACGGGAUUCAGGAGCUUGCUUCUGAUGAGAGUGGCGCACGGGUGCGUAACACGUAUGUAACCUACCUUUAUCAGGGGGAUAGCCUCUCGAAAGAGAGAUUAAGCCCGCAUAAAAUCACAGCACAGCAUUGUGUAAUGAUCAAAUAUUUAUAGGAUAAAGAUGGGCAUGCGGAACAUUAGCUAGAUGGCGGGGUAACGGCCCACCAUGGCGACGAUGUUUAGGGGAUCUGAGAGGAUGGCCCCCCACACUGGCACUGAGACACGGACCAGACUCCUACGGGAGGCAGCAGUAAGGAAUAUUGGUCAAUGGGCGGAAGCCUGAACCAGCCAUGCCGCGUGCAGGAAGACGGCCCUACGGGUUGUAAACUGCUUUUAUACGGGAAUAAACCCAGAUACGUGUAUCUGGCUGAAUGUACUGUAAGAAUAAGGAUCGGCUAACUCCGUG